AUUGACUUAGAGGAGCCUCAUUGUUAACUGUUACUAUCAUAGUCUGUAGGUUUAAAUUGCUUGGGUCAACUUAGUUGUUUUAUUUGAAUUUGAGAGGUUUUUUUACGAAUCUAGCUUGUUUUCCUCCUAAAGUGUAACGGAUUGAUGCAUCUCCACAGAUCAUCUAUAAGGAUCAUCAUAGUUUGACAAAAUAGGGGCCCCCAAACAGCAUCUUGCAUAGGGCCUGCCAAAAGCUAGAAACGGGCCUGGCUGCAGGAACC